AGGAGGUAAUUUACUAUUUAUUUUUUUAAAAAUAUCAUGCAUGGCCUUGGCCCAAAAUGGAGACCUAAAACCAACGUGUCACCAAGUAAAAUUAGGUCUCAAAGGGCCAUCUCCUCUCAGCCUGGGUAUUAUGCCUCUCCUGUGAUACUACCCUUAAGAAAUUAUAACACUCAUUUACAGCCAAGGACUCACAGUGUCUAACUAUAGGAAUUACAUGUGCUUAUGUGGGUAAACCAAUACAUAUGAAUUUUCUGCUAUAGCCAAUGAAUGAUGAGGGGCCUAAGAAAAUGAAGGGUAUUUUGGGGGAAGUUCAAAACCCACUGAAGAGUCUUGGAAUGGUGGUGCAUGCCUUUAAUUUCGCUGCUCAGUGGCAGAAAUAGGCACAUCUCUGCGAGUUCAAGGACAGCUUGGUCUACAUAGUAAGUCCAGGGCAGCCAGGGCUACAUACAGAGAGAGACAACUAAGCUAGAAGUGGUGGCACAGGCCUUUAAUCCCAGCACUCAGGAGACUGUGGAAGGAUCACUGAGUGAUCAAGACCAGCCCGGCCUAGAUGGUGAGUUCCAAGAUAGCCAAGAGUACAUAAAGAGACCUUGUCUCAAAAUUAAUUAAUUAAAAUUCAAAUAAGAGUCCUUCAA
rnacentral:lncRNA from 1 species